AGAAGCUGUGAUUUCCUGCACGGACUUGUGUAUGAUUAGACCCACCCAUAUCCUUGAGCUGCCUAUCCCAGACCCAGAACCUGUAGGCUGAUACUGAUGCAUUGCCCAAUACAAAGGCAUGAAGACUUACAUCUAUGUUUCUCUCUGAGAGUUCUAUAAUUGCAGCUUCUACACUUGUAAUACUUGGUAUGAGGUAAGGCUCAACUGCGUUCUUUCCCACCCAGUAGUCCAGCAUCAAUUGAGGAAAAGACUGCUCGUUCUCUGGUAAAGACAAGCUUUCUGAGAAAACCUUCCAGAAAGCCAGCAGACAGACACUAAAAACCAACUUGCAGUGAUGUCUUCUCCCCACUCUCCUCUUUAAGGUAUGGGGAAUGUGGGGUGUUACUUUGAAGGGUGGUUUUGAGAUCUGGACGGAAGGUUGGCCUAGGGUGAGUUGAGAGGCUAUCAGGCUUGUCGAUGUUAUUGAGAUCAGCUCUGUUUCAGGAACCAACACCCCUAGGGCAGUCUUUUGGAGUCCUGUCAUUCACGUUUUUCUCAGCCACGAGCCUUCGAAAGAUGCCUGGGAUUCUGAAAGAGGAUAAAAUCCUACAGAAAACUGCGUUGGCCACGCCUUCCAGUUCUCCCCAGGAUGGUACAAAGUUGGUGCUACCAGGGGUAUAAUAGGAAAGACUCCUCACUCCUUACAACCAUGCCUCUGUGUGCCAGCACCUGAGAAGGACCCUCCAGUGCCCUGCAGUCACAACAGAAAACACGGAACCCAGGGCCUCAGGAGGGAGCAGGGUGGGGAUGGGGGCUGGCUCCCCCACUACCUCCCUAGAUGCCAGAAGCUGUGUUUAUGUCUGCUGAGGCAGACAAGUAGAAGAUUCUUCCCUGGGGAAAGUAUAGAACUCCUUGGAAGAUCUAUGUAUACAUCCUGACAGUGACGUUCUCCCCUCGGCAAGACCCAGAGUUUUCCAUCAGAAUUUGAGCUUCUUUUCCACACUUAUGAACAGUCAUGUGUGUGAGAAACAAAGGCCAAUAUCCACAGACAGAAGAGAGGAACCCCGAGGAAACAGACAAGGAGACGCGAAACGGAACUCAUGGAGAUCAAACAAUACAUUACUAAUGAAUCAUUACUAAAUGAUGUUUAAGUCAAAGAAGAGAUCAGUGAAGAAAAAAAUUCCUGGAAGUUAUAUGAAGAUUAAAACACGGUGAGGAAGACGAGACAUUUGGGGCUGUUGGAUAAGCUGGCAAAAAAUAAAUAAAUACAGAAGCAGAAAAGGAGAAAUGUGUUUAAGGAGGCCAAGUUGCACGAUAAUGAAGCAUAAAGAACAGGCCGAUGCUGCACAGUUUUUCUGGGGAGGCACAGACUAUCUCUUCACUCUAGAUAGGAGACUGAGGAUACAUCAAAGGAUGAUGCUACCCAAACCUAACUUGAUAAACCGAUAGACCACAUCACGGAAAAUAUCAAGAUUAUACCUGAAAGAUGGAUGUUUUGCCUGCAUUUACGUCCAUCAGCUGCCUGUACACAAUACCGUAGGAAGCCAGAGAAGGUGUUGGAUCUCUGAAACUGGAGCUGCAGAUGGGUGUGUGAGCUGCCAGGGAUCCACCAUAAAGGCGGCAGAAGUAAGGCACAGUAUUAAACGCCGAUUUUGUUUGCUCGUCCUUAAGAUGUGGGAAACACACACUGCUUGGAACAGAAGCAGCCGCAGACUGGCUUCCCUGAGGACAUGGAACACACUUUAAGAUCUAACCGAGCCGUGACUAUGCCAAUGCUUCUUUGCCGCUGUGUCUUUCCCCUCUAUCACAUAUUUUAAAGCACUAUACUAGUAGCUUGCUCAAUCAGUUUUAGUAGGUAUUCAAGAAAGAGGAAAAAGGAAAUGGGAUGGAAAUCAAGCCCGUCAGGGAGCUCAAAGACCAUACAACAAGAGAGGGCGAGCUAGACAAAACCACCUGAGAAAGAAAUCUCAGGAUACGGUGCAUGAAAACCAAUUCAAGAUCAAUUGUGUCGGCAGAUCAAAGCUCGGACCCAGCAUAGUGAAGAGUGCUAGCUAUUACCACGGUAGAGCACUGCACACAGGAGGGGGAAGCACACCUUUGCUUCUUGUGGUGCUAUGGCCAGCUUCCAAGCAAAGAUGAAUCAAACUGAUCAGAGCAGAUGCAUUCCAGAUAAGGCUGAGGAAGUGUUUAAACUGGUGUUUUAAAAGGCAUUCGAGAGAGCACAGCUACCAGAGAUUGUAGAGACCGACUCGGCAUGCCUCCUGAAAGAGCCGGACUCCGCGCGCCUCCUGGAAGAGCCCUACUCUGCGCGCCUCCUGGAAGAGCCCGACUCCACGCGCCUCCUGG
rnacentral:lncRNA from 1 species